GAACAAAUCUCUGCAGGAAUUGAGUUUGACACCCCUGCAGUAGAGCGUUGAGUCCUGCACACCUUCAGGUUGGCUUCACCCUUUUGUAGACGUCUUCUCUGAGCGGCCUUCUGCUGUUUGACAGGUCAACCAAAUCAGGACACUCAUCCUCUACCUCAUUCUCCUCUUCCCUCUCCAAGUCUUUGGAAAUGUCAGAAACAGUUUCUUUCUGAAUGUCUUCUGAGGGGAUCUCUUCACAUUGAGCUCUGUCAUGUUCCUCAGUGUCCGCCUCUAUUGGAGUCUCCUUGCUCAUUUUUAGCCCUUCCAGCUCAAGCAUGGCAUGUUUAUACUCCUCCAUGCUGACAACGUCCUCCGAGGCGGCCUGAUGUGUAUUGUCAGCAGACUCUGGGAUGUCGUCGUCAUCAUCAUCUCCACUGAGUCCUUCAUUUUCUGGACCUUCAGGAUGGAGCAAACCAUCAUCCUGCUGCAGCUCCUUGGUGUAGCCACUAGCAGAGAUCUCCACAUCGAGCAAGCAAGCUCUUCUGUAUAGAGGAAUAUGUAACGUAGUUAUGUCUCAAAGUCUAUACUAUCUAAAAAAAAAAGUCUGAUUAUAUAACAAAGCAAGCUAUUAAAAAAAAAAAACCUGAUAUCUUUGAAUGUUGGAUAGAGUUCGCUUUCAUAGUUAAAUCUUUUUAAGAAAAAAUCUUGAAUACACUUGACAUCUCGAUCAACUACCUUUUGCAAAACAAUUAAAAACUUAAUUUCAGUGGCAGUGCUUAUUAUUGAAUAAUUACCAUUAUCAGUUUAAUAUCAGGUUAGUCAAAGUGCAGCUAAACUCACAGUGGGUAACCAUUAAUGAGCUCCAUAACCACUGCGUGUCUGUUGUAGUCCACUGGCUUCGGGACAGGAAACCCUCGAUCAUAUAAUGCCUGUUGGAAUAACAAGGACUCUUAAAUCAAAUAAAUCUAGGCAAACAUUAGCCUGCACAAGAAACUGCUGUUUUCUUGUCUUUAUUUGAUUAAAUAUUUUACUUUAGAUACUUUAUAAUAUUUCAUUAUUAUACAGUGAUCUAUGCUGAAAUUAUUUCAGAAGACAAGAUCCGUAUCCAGCACAAUGUAGUAGAUCGGUUGUGAGGGUCAACAGACAAUUAUAGAGUUGUUUGGGCAUGAAACACAAAUAGACUCAAAUACCUCAGAAGGCUUAGAAUCAAGAUUUGUUAUUAGUUAUGGGAUACAAUGGGGAACUUUGAAUAGUAGUAGUUAUUUAUUUUUAUUGGCAUGUCAGCAUCUAAGGCUGUCUUCAUGGAAAACGGAGUUGUGGAACUUUUAAAUAAAAGCAUCUGCUAUAUCAGUGAUUUUUAACUGAAGGGCCAGAGGCCACUAGUGUUUUUAGAUUAGAAGAAUGGCUUGAACAAUAAAUUUGAUUUUAAUACUUGAAACAGCUGAACUCAAAAUACACACUUUGACACUAGCUUGUCCCAAAAACAACAACAGAUUGAAGUGUGUCUCUUUAUCCUCUUGGAAUAUAUUGAUAUUACCUUCAUGUAUGCAAACUCUUUCAUGGCAGAGAGCCGGGACAGGUACAGCCAUGACAUCUUGUGUCUGUGCUUGUAGUAAUCUCUUGUUCUUCAAGUUCCUGAAGGAUGUCCGACCCAGUCUGUGAAGUUUCAGCACAAACUGCUCCCCCUCAGCAUUUGCAACAAUGUAAAUAUCUGAAAUAUGAAAAAUCACUUUUGUU